rnacentral:pre_miRNA from 1 species
AUCCCAGGCUGACUCGUAGGGUUUCACCACCUUCUUCACCUUUAUGUCUCAUAUCUCUGUGCACGGGGCCUGGCAUACAGCAGGUGCUGAAUAAAUGUGACUAGAUGGAGCCCCCUGCCAGGCCAGCUUUCCCGUGG